rnacentral:tRNA from 1 species
GAUUUUAUAAUUUAAUAAAAAUUAUAAAUUGCAAAUUUAUCCUAUAUCUUCUUUAAGAUUAAAAUCU